UGAGAGUGAGACUACAAUGCUACUAUUGUGAUUGGUGAAAUCCCAUCAUUAGUAAAAUUUCCUCAUCUUCCCAGAGGACAAAGCUAUCUGUGAAUUGAGUCACCACGAAAGUCACCUUAGACAGAGAUUUUUUUUCCCCAUGAUAAAGUAAAAGGGACAUAGAUAAAUGAUAUCAACAUUUUCAAUGGUGGCAUAGGAAGAAUAACAUUUUACUUCUUCAAGUAACUAUAUCCUGUGUAAAGCUUGAGAUCAAAAUCAAAUAAGAUUAGCAGAAUAGAAUUGCAUGGGGGUCACAAAACACACAUGCACUUAUGUCUGCAGAACAAAUAUCAAUGCAUUAAAUGUGCAGAGUCCAAAUAACAAAAAAAAUUACUACAAACAAGAAAAAUAAAUGUAAGACAUCAAACCUCUUUUGCUUCUACUAUCUUGGUUUUCUGGUUUGGAGGUGCCAAAACCUUUUUUAUUAGAGUUUCAGCAACCUCUUGAGGGGACCCAAAUUCUGUAAUAUCCUGUUUGCCAGUUGGUAUCACAUUUACACUGACGUUCUCCAGUGGUUCAAUGACAUCUUUGAACAC
rnacentral:lncRNA from 1 species